UAUAUGCACCAGAGAAUUUGCUAAAUAAAGGGAAAAGUGAGCUAAUGGCUAAAUAGCGGAUCUUGCUAUUGUUUUGUUUGUUCUUCUUUGUGCUUUAAUGUCUGGAUUCCUGAUCUUGCUGUAACUGUGAGUGAAACAGCUUAGGACAGAUACAAAAAGCUUGAUGGCUUAUUUGAUGUUCCAUGGUGAUGACUGCCCAGUUAACGGACUUGGUGGCUGCUGCUACCUCAAAGACUGACUGGGCUGCUAACGACACGACUAAGCUACAAAGCUACAAUCGAUUUGUUCCUUAGCAGAUAUUUACAAAAGCUGAUGGCUUAUUUGAAGUUACAUAUGGCUUAUUUGAAGUUAAAUAGUG
rnacentral:misc_RNA from 1 species